rnacentral:rRNA from 1 species
AUUGAACGCUAGCGGGAUGCCUUACACAUGCAAGUCGAACGGAGUGGCGAACGGGUGAGUAAUGUAUAGGAACGUGCCCAGUAGCGGGGGAUAACUACGCGAAAGCGUAGCUAAUACCGCAUACUAUUGGAGCGGCCGAUAUCGGAUUAGCUAGUUGGUGGGUUAACGGCUCACCAAGGAGACGAUCCGUAGAUGGUUUGAGAGGACGACCUGCCACACGGUGACUGAGACUCGGCCCCGUCUCCUACGGUAGGCAGCAGUGGGGAAUUUUGGAAAAUGGGGGAAACCCUGAUCCAGCCAUCCCGCGUGUGCGUUGAAGGCCGUCGGGUUGUAAAGCACUUUUGGCAGGACAGCGGUACCUGCAGAAUAAGCACCGGCUAACUACGUGCCAGCAGCCGCGGUAAUAC